rnacentral:tRNA from 1 species
UUAGCGCAAUUGGAUAGAGCGUCAGAUUCCGAUUCUGGAGGUUGGGGGUUCGAAUCCCUUA